GGCCCUGUAGUACAAUGGAUAGUAUAGGAGUUUCCGAAGCUCUUGAUACUGGUUCGAUUCCAGUCGGGGUCACCA
rnacentral:tRNA from 1 species